rnacentral:rRNA from 1 species
CGCACAGUAAACGAUGACAACUGGCUGUCGGCGAUAUACCGAUCGGUAGCGAAGCGAAAGCGUUAAGUUGUCCACCUGGGGAGUACGACCGCAAGGUUGAAACUCAAAGGAAUUGACGGGGGCCCGCACAAGCGGAGGAACAUGUGGUUUAAUUCGAUGAUACGCGAGGAACCUUACCCGGGCUUGAAUUGCAACCGAAUAAUCGAGAGAUCGAUUAGCCGCAAGGCGGUUGUGAAGGUGC